rnacentral:sRNA from 1 species
GUCGCCCGGAGCCGGGGAGGGAGGGAGCGAGGUUCGGACACCGGCGGCGGCUGCCUGGCCUUUCCAUGAGCCCGCAGCGGACCCUCCCGCGCCCCCUCUCGCUCUGCCUCUGCCUCUGCCUCUGCCUGGCCGCGGCUCUGGGAAGUGCGCAGUCCGCUCUUGCCCCUGUUCUUUGCUUCUCGUUUUGUUGGUGAAGAUAUCACAGUGAUGUCUGCAUUCAACCUGCUGCAUUUGGUGACAAAGAGCCAGCCAGUAGCCCUUCGAGCCUGUGGGCUUCCCUCAGAUAAUCUCACAGCAAAUUUCAGAGCUUCUCCUCAUAUUGUUGAUAUUGAUGAAGAAAGAGUUUAGACACUUGAUCUGUAUUUACUAGUUUGUUUCUACCACCAACUGGCUUUCUGGCCCCAGGAAUCUUUGUUUUGUACCUUUUAUUCCUAUUCUGCAUCUGUAAACUGAGAAUUUUGUAACAUUCUUGUCAAAUCUUUUAUAAAAGAUAUGACCUUCAGGUGAGGGUUAUUGUAUUAUAUUAUAUUAUAUUGCAUAUUAGCUGACAUUUUCCAAAGGUUUGUUCU